UACAUACAUCGAAAGACAUACCCAACGAUGUGAAAACAUACAUGAUUAAUGGUUUACUAUUGUACACCAUUGAUUUAUUCUGUCACAAACUCGAAAGGUGCUCGUAAUUUAUUCAUAAAAGCAAAACACCCCCAUUUAUUUAUUACUAUAACACAUAAAAAGACAGGCUUACAUAAGAACCCGUUAGUUGACACCAUUGACAGCUUUGCGUGGAGUUUCACCUGAAAUGGAGUGGCGAUCACAAAAGCUCUCCAAUCUAUCAAAUGCAUCCUCCAAAGUUGGAGUAUCCAUGUCAAUAGAAUGCCUCACCCAGUUCUUCAGAAUAAAAGCAAUCCCUAAACCAAACCAUCACACAAUAUAUAAGUUGUUUUGUUAAAAUUAUCAAACAGGAAAAAUGAUUGUCUCCCCUGGUAGACCGCUAAACCUUGGACAUAGAUAAUGAAUACCUGGCAAAAGGACGAGGUUUUCCUCAGUAGCUAAUUUUUCACAGAAAUCGUCAUCAUCUUCAAUAUCCACAAAGGAUGAUAAGUUCAGCUCGGUCUGCGAGUAGAAAAGAAAAAAAAAAUUUAAAGAACACAAUUAUAAAGAGAAGGUUAUAAUAAGUUCUAAAGAUACAUAGUAAUGAUAGAAUACCCAGAAGAAGGUGCACGCUGCAGGUUUCAUGUAGCAGGUGAGGGAAGGUAUGCUCUUGAGCUUAUAAUAUGCAAGAUCGGUUUUAUCUUUCAGAAACAUCCGCCUACAUAAUACAAAUCUGACACAUUAGCUAUAUAAUUGAUAAUAAUAGGAAUAGUCCGUAACAUUUUAUUUUAUAAGGUUACAGAAAGUGUCCGAAUCAAAAAGUCUCGUACCUGGAUAACAGUUGGUGGUUUAGAAUUUAGAUCAAGGAACUGUUUUAUAGCAGCUAAAACCUGUCCAUAAGAUUAGGAAAAAAAGUUAAUAAGAACGAACGUUGAUAACUCUUAAUAUCAAACAUAGUACAUGCAUAGUGAAUAAUGAUACAUAUUAUUCAUAUAUAUGCUUAAAGAUUGAUGGAGAAAAAUAGACCGGACAUUUUUGGAUUUAAAGACACCAUCUAGGUCGUGAAGCGCGAUCCAGCCAGUUCGCCAUCCAGGGACAGACCAUCCCUUCGAUAUGGACCCGAGUGUAACCACCGGUACAAUGGACGAAAAUUUGCCCAUGGGAACGAAGGGAUUACUCCCAAACACCGACCAACGAAAAACUUCGUCAGAAACAACCAUUAUCCCGAGUUCUCGAGCCAACACAGCGAGCUAAGAUUCAUUAAUAUACACACAGUCAAAGGAUUAUAACAUAUGGCCAUGCGAAUACUUGUAUAGCUAAUUAGAGUAUAGGUGAAAAUACCUGCUUGAGAUGAGCUUCAGAGUAGGUGUUCCCGUUGGGAUUGUGCGGGUUUAUUAUAAAUAUUGCGAAUGUGUUCUCAUCCGCUGCCGCUCGGACGCUGUCAAGGUCAAUCUAAUACUUCUCUUCGCGAAGAAAUUCGUAAUUGCGGACCUCAAGGUGCUUGAAGAUGGAACGGAUUAAGUUACUUGGGUAGCCUGGCUUGGGAAGCAAGAUGUUGGCAUUUGGUUUAGCCAAUGUAUCAACGGCAAGCUCGAUGGCUUGUUUGCAUCCAACGGUCAUAAACACGUCAUCAGGUGACAGUUUCUUCGGAAGAUCUCUGUUUAGGUAAUCUGCUACAGCCCUGAGAAAAGCAAAAAUUAUGGGACACUUUUUUGUCAAAGAGGUCUAAAAUUAAUAAACUAUGCUACUAUAAUUCUAUGUAUGUAUAUAUCACCUUUUUUCCUUUUAUUUCCUUACGUAGUUGUUUAUUUUUGGAUGAUUACUCUCGUUACUACUAGUGAGAUUAUAUAGUACAAGUUUUUACACUUUUUCUUAUGAUAGUUUAUACUUCGCGUGGUUAUAUAAGAAAAGAAAGGAACUAAAUGCAUCUCGAGUCCCAACAUGUUAGAACGUUUCCUCUAAACACGGUAAGUACAAAAUGUAAAACUGUCGAUGGAAAAUAGGUCAUUUAUAUAAAAUAUAUUAUCAGACAAUGAAAAAUCACGUGCUAUUUGGAUUUUCAAUUAUACUAGGUGAUAUUAUAUAAUAUAGUACCAAACUUAUUUUCUUUCUAUCUGUAGUUCUUACCAUCAGUGACGGCCUCUACACUUUACAUUUUGCUUAUGAUGCCGUGCGUCACCAUCAACACAUAUAAACGCAAGACUUAAGAACAAUCCUAAUGAUUUGAGACGUGAGUUAGAAGAAACAACGGAAUAUUUUUUUUGUUUCGUCGUGUUUUUAGCUUUCGUCUAUACACUGUAAAUCGUGAGGAUAAGUUGGAAUAACCUAUCGCCACGAUACAUAAACAUUUAUCAGUUAACAGUAGUUGUUAUAGUUCCGUAGUUAUAUAUGAUGACUAGCAACUUUAUCGACUUGUUUUAACAAGUUAUGUUAAUAAGUUAUAAUUAUGUGUAGUGUUAAAUCAAUACCAUAGAUAAUUGUGAUUUUUUUUUUCUUUUUGGUAUUAAACCAUGUAUUACGUAACAAACAACAUACCAGCUACCAAAUUAUGUAGGGUAAUUUUCAUAUUUACCACUUUCUUAAUACCCUUAUUCAUGUUUACCACCACUAAAAAUACAUUUUCAAAAAUAUUUUUUUCACUAAGUGACAAAAGACUAUUAUAUCAUUCCUCUUUGUAUAUAUAAUAAAUAAUUAUUUAAAUAAAUAAAAAAUAAAAAAUAAAAUAACAAAAAAUAAAAAAAUAUUUUUUUUAUGUUUUCGAGUUAUACUCUUUCAAAUUCGAACUUUAUUAUAAAUUUCUUUUUUUUUGAAUUUUGUGUUUUGAUUUUUUUUUCAAAAUUUCUUUUUGAAACUAUUUUUUAUAUUUUUUAAGUAUUUAUUUAUAUAUUUAUUAGAAUCCUAAAUUUCACAUUCCAAAAACCAUACCUCACCCAUCAACUCUAAAACCGUAAGACUACAUUAGUUAAUCCUAGGAUUAUAAAUGUCUUUUAUUCUUCAUUAAAAGUUAUGAUAAAAGUGGUGGGUGUAAACAUGAAAAAAAUAUUAUGAAUAUGGCAUUUUUGGUGAUUUUCCAAUUAUAUAUCGCUUAACAAAUUAUGUAUCAAACAAUGUAUCAACUCACAAAUAACGUAUCAACUAACAAAUUACUUAUCAAACAACAUAGCUAACACAUUAUAAAUCAAACAAUGUUUCAAUCACAAUUUUUGUUUUCACAUUUCGUCUAUCACUAAACCCAACGAGGAUAUUAACCUAAUUAUGCCUUCUUUUUUGUAUAUACAAUAAAUUCUCUCAAAAUUUAAUGGUUAGCGUUAUGCUGGAAACAAGAAGAAAACUACGACGUUCUAAUCUCCUAGAGACAUAAAUGUUCAUUUUUCUCAACGACCCUAAUGCAAUAUAAUAUAAACUAGAUUAAGACCCGCACCUUGCGCGGGAUAAAAAUUAUAUAUAUAAAUUAUUUUAUGUAUUAUAUGUUUUUACAUAUUAUGAAAUAAUAAAUAUAUAUUAAAUAAUUAAAAGUCAGUAACUAUUACAUAUAUAAUAAAAUUGAUGCGAACGUAUAAAUCAAUUUUAUUAAUACAAACAAUUUUUUAAAAAAAUUUGAUAGGAUAUGUAAUUAAAUUUAAAUGAUAUUAACAUACAUAGUAUAUUUUUAAUAUUAAUGUCUAUUUUUUUAAUGGUGUUUUCUACUCAUAUGUUUUUUUUGAUCAUGUGUAUCUUUAAUAGCAAAAACUUUAAAUUACUGAUAACAAAAUUUUCAUUGUGGGACUAAUAAUUUUAGUAAUUGAUAAUUUAAAAAAAUUUAUCAAUGUUAGUUCAAAACUUUUAUCAAAAAAAUUAUUCAAAGUAAAUUUUGAAACUAAAAUAUUUAUUUAUUCAAUAUGGUUUAUAGUUUAAUUUAGAAUGAUAUAUAUAUACAUAUAUAUUUUAAAUCUUAAUGAUUAAUUAAAUUAGACUUUUACUUAUAUGAUUUUGUAAUCAUUUGUAUUUUGUCAUAACAAAAAUUUUAAACCAUGGAUCGCAAAAUUUGAAUGUGAGACUUUUAACAAUUUUAGUAAUUUAUAGUCAUUUUUUAAAAUUCAAAAUAUAAAAUAUACAGAAAAAUCUAAAUUUUUAUAAUAUGGUUAUUUUGUUUUUUUUAAAGUUAUUUUAAUAGUUUUAAAUUAAACAAAUUUGAUAGAGGAUACAUUUUUUUUAUCAGAUUUUUUUUAUUCAAAAUCAUUAAUUGUCAUAUAUACUUUACCCACAUUAGGCAAUUCCUUAAUCUUUAUUUAAGAAAAUAAUAAUUGACAUUAAUAAUGAAUUUAUGGUUAGUUUAAUAAAAAGUUUAUUAUAUAAUUAGAUGGACCAACCUAUUUCUCUAGUAAUUCUAAGAGUCAUCCUAGUGAUGACAUGUGGCUACAAAAAGAAGUUGUAAUGUUUCACAAAUAAUAUAUAGGGGAUUUGAAUAUACAUAUCCAUACACCAAACCUUUUCUAGUAAUUCCAAAUAUACCGGUUGGGUUUGGCUUUUCUAUGUUAGUGAUUACUGAUUUUUUUUCAUUGGCAAUUUAUUAUAACAACAUUACCAAAAAAAAAAACAUAACAAACCUAGAACCCGAAGAAGAGAGGUUACAUAGAGCCAACUGCAUAGAGCUUUAGCCCAACACAGAGCACCGUCGACCGGAGAAGGUGUAGAGAUAAUGACCUUUUUUUUCUCUCUCGAUUUAUUUUGUUUUUUUUUCUUGUGCUUUAAUUAGGUUAACUAGAUCACGAUCCGCGCAACCGCGCGAGUUUUUGUUUUCAAUUAUUUUUAUAUAAAUAUUUUAUUUUCAAUUCUAAAUUGGUAUAUAUUAUAAUAUGUAUGUGUCUAUCAAUUUUUAAAACAUAAUAAGUUUACUGUAUAUUUUUUUCAUUGAAUACAUUGUUUCAAACUUUCACAUGUAUUUGUAUCUUCUUCUAUAUAUAUUUUUUCGGAUUAUUAUUUCAUUAUUAAAAUCGUAACUAUAUAUAUAAAGAUUAGUAAAAUAUUGUUUUAUUGUCAUAUUCAAAGAUAUUGUAACAUUUCACAUAUUUAGAAAGUUUUUAAAAAAUUAAACUUUUAGCUUCAUAGAUUUAUAUUAUCGAGUAAAUAAUUAAACAUUUAGUUUUUGUUUAAUUUUUAAAAUAAACUAUAUAGUUUAAAAUUUGUUUUCAUUGGUUUAAGGUAGUAAAGAUUAAUCAUUGUUAGAUAAUAUGAUUUUUUUUUUAAAAAAAAAUGUUUAUAAUUUUAAAAGUUAACAUCGACAAAUAUUUAAAUAUUUAGCAUAUAGAGGUAUAGUAUUACAACAUUAAAUUAUAUCUAUUUAAUUUAUACUAUCUAUAAAUCCAAUAGAUCAUCUAUUGUUUAAAUCCAAUUACUGAUAGCCAAUAAAAAAUUUUGAUAUGCCCAAAAUUUAAAUGAUAAGAUUAGAUAUUAAAUGUAACAUUACUUUAUAAGAAUAGGUCCAUUAGAUCCAUUUUUUAAAAAAUCACACAUGAAUCAAGGUUGUGACUUAUGUUUUAAUAUAUAAGAUGUUUAUUGAUUAGUCUAACUACUUAAAAUAUAUGAUCUUAUGUGACAACUGAAAACAGGUCAUGUGGCGGUAACGAAAAACCUGAUGCGCCAUUAUAUGAGAUGUGAUAAUUAUUGUCCUAGAUGUGGUGAACCAAAAGAAACUGUUAUUCAUGCCAUAUUUGAAUGUCCUUCAGUUCUGCAAGCAUGGUCCCUAUCAACAACACCAUCUAGCCCUAACACCUUCCCGCUACCAAGUAUUUAUGCCAAUAUGGACUAUCGUUUUUGGAGAAAGAAUAGCAUCGUUGAACCAUAAUUAGACAUGGAUCCUUAUCACUUGAUAAUUUGGUAUACGUGGAAGGCUCAGAACGAUAAACUCUUUUGAGGGAUAGACGUGGAUCCUUUGGAGCUAGUCCGACAUGCGGAAAGUGAAUGUCAAGCCUGGUUCAAUGCAAAUGAAAUGGUAGCCCACAUUCCACAAGAGCAGAAUAUUAAGGAUUCCCAAGUCAUAAGCUUGGAUAAUAUAUGUAUAGUGGAUGGUUGGGUUUGGGUAGAUAACUUGGGAAAUAUUCAACUUAAAGAGACACAGAACUUAAGACGGCGAGAGACUAACAUUCAGAAAUGGAAGCACCGCGAUGGACAAAUUAAGGAGAGUAUGCUUCAACAUUCGUCAUGUCAGAGCUCCAGGACGGAUUGCAAGGAUCUGAUCUCGAUGAUAAAGGAGCUUCACGCUUAGCCAAGUUUUACAACAGAACUGGAGGCGAUAAAGACGCUGCUGAUAUGUUUUUCGGACUUCAAGAUAUCUUAUAUCCUGAGAGCGCAAAAGAGAAUUUCUCACUCUUUAGCUAGGACUGUAAGAUAUUUUUAUUGUGAGCUUUUUUAUAUUGGUUGUUCUAUUCCGGUCUGGUUACCAAGACCUCAAGUUUGAGUAAUAGAAUAGCCCUUCGAGAAAAAAAAAAUAUAUAUAUAUAUAUAGAUUUUGAAACUUUUUUCUCCUCACACUUGUAAGAGAGAUAAUGAAUGAUUUUGUAAUAUGUCAUAUACCGAUAUAUUCUAAUGAAAACAAGCUGAAUUUUAUUCGUUUAUAAAAAGUACAAAGACAUACAUACAUCGAAAGACAUACCCAACGAUGUGAAAACAUACAUGAUUAAUGGUCUACUAUUGUACACCAUUGAUUUAUUCUGUCACAAACUCGAAAGGUGUUCAUAAUUUAUUCAUAAAAGCAAAACACCCCCAUUUAUUUAUUAUAUCAUAGCAUAUAAAAAGACUUAGGCUUACAUAAGAACCCUUUAGUUGACACCAUUGACAGCUUUGCAUGGAGUUU
rnacentral:lncRNA from 1 species